AGCUGAUGCCUCUCCAUUUACCACUGUGCCGUGGGAGAGGAGUGUUAUGAAAACAAAUUUAAUGGAAAAACAAGAAUUCAAAUGCUGGGCCUCAAACCAAUGCUUUUGUUUCCAGUUCGGCACAGACUGAUUGCCCCUAUCAGCUUGCACAUAUAUAAGCAAGAAACCUUUCCAGUACGUUGCGUUUGCUUUUCCAGGGGCUCUUUGGAAAUACCCGACGUGUCCAGAUUUUACAUUUUGCCUAGCAAAUAGUUUGGGUUGGGGAUGGAUUUUUUCCCUCACUAACCACAGAACGCCAAAGGUGUGAUGUGCUGUGAAGCUCAGUUUGCACAGCCCCUGCAAACACAUCCUGCAGGAGGCCAGGUGUUUGGGGAGACGAGCAACAUCUGCAGAGGAGAUGAGCACGGACAGUGCCACAGCUGCUCCUCGGUGUGGUGGGAAUAGGAACAUUUAUCUAGUGUUUCAUGAAAAGCUCCAUCAGACGCUAGGGCUUUAGGGGGAAAAAAAAGACUCCUCCACUGGAAGAAAGAUGCAUGGGUUACUGGGGAAGCUGAUACCAGCAGCUGUGUCAUCAAAACAUCCACGGUUCAUACACAGACAUGCAGAGAUGGGCAGACACAAAGGCCUUCACUUUUUUAAUUCACACCGUGUGCCCAACAGAAACAGCAGUAAAUGUAUCUCAGAUUCUCCUUUCAAAUCACCUUAUUUCUUUUGGCGUUCUUCGUGGACAAAUUCCACAGGGGUGUUAUUUUACUGCACAGAAAUAGGCAGUAAGAGGAAAUGUACCAGACCAUUUCAAAGCUGGAUUGCUGCUGCUGAAUGAUUUUAUCCUCUUCAAAUCACAGGAGAGGGGAAGGAUGAAUGGAAAAAGACCAUACAGUAGAAAAGUUGACUUAGGCAAACAAUAGGUGAAAAUAUAUAAAUUAAAAAGGUGAUGUUAUGGUGUCUAGUAGGCGUACAGAGAAAAGAGUUCAUGUAUACAUAUAUUCAGAAAUAGUGUGUUUGCACACGCACGUGAAUUCUCUGUAUGUAUCGUGUAUGUGACUUAUUCCGUGGGACUGACUCGUGUUAAUAUAUCUCUUGAUCUGGGGCAGGAGAGUACUGCUGAUCUUGGCACUAACUUGGGCCCAGCAAAGCGCCUGCCCCGUGUGUCCUGCUUGCCCCUUCCCAACGGGGCAGGGCCCACGUGCAUGUGCUUGCUGGGCAGGAGCAGGCCGAUAAUGCUGCAAAGCCGAUACCUCACUUACCUCUGCUGGGUGCUUUACUGUUCUACAGAAAACUGUGUUUGAUUGUAACUUCAACAGGGGAAAGAAAAACAAAGUUGUCAGUGCAUUCGAUUCAUUGCAUCCUCCUCUGCAAAUAGAUUAGGAUUUCUGAUCACAAUUCCCUCUGUGAAAUUCAGAAAAGAGAGGAAAAAAAAAAAAAGAAAUUGGUGUUAAUGCCUUUGCUGAAAUGAGCUGUUGCCUCCACGCUCUUCCCAUGGUGAGGACGUGUUGCUAACGGGCGGGCUGUAGUGCUGGGUGAUUUAAUUUUGUGGGAAGGUGCCGGGGCUGAGCAUGGAAAUUAAAGCAUUAAGAAAUUAUAUGCAGAAAUGGAACUUCUCCAAGGUUUGCAGUUCAAGGUGUUUGACCGUUCACUGGCUGAGCCAGGACUUAUGGACUUAAAAGAGCUUUUACUGUGAUUCUUCGGUGUAAAAGAAAAAUACAAACAAAAAAAAGAA
ensembl:lncRNA